CGGACAACGGAAAGGCAGCUCUAUCUGAAGGUGAAACUGCUCUAGCUAACAGGGAAAGCUCUUUAAAAGACCAUCAAAGAGACACCCUGCACAAUGCCUGCUUUCCGGAGGAGCCUCGCGCCCACAAGGCCAUCCCCCAAAUCCAAAAUAUGCUGGCAUGCUAAUCGCGUGAGACAACUUGGCCCACGGACAGCCACAAAGCACAAAAACAAAACACAAACUCACUCAGAGAAGAAACAAGAAUCGUGUUUUCCUGGCAUCUACGAGAAGCGCUUUAUUAGAAGCGCUUUAUUUUUCCUCUAGAUUUCUUUUCUAAAAAAUGAAAAACAAAAACA
rnacentral:lncRNA from 1 species